CAGCCGCCGCGGUAAUACGAAGGGGGCUAGCGUUGUUCGGAUUUACUGGGCGUAAAGCGCACGUAGGCGGACUUUUAAGUCAGGGGUGAAAUCCCGGGGCUCAACCCCGGAACUGCCUUUGAUACUGGGAGUCUUGAGUUCGAGAGAGGUGAGUGGAAUUGCGAGUGUAGAGGUGAAAUUCGUAGAUAUUCGCAGGAACACCAGUGGCGAAGGCGGCUCACUGGCUCGAUACUGACGCUGAGGUGCGAAAGCGUGGGGAGCAAACAGGAUUAGAUACCCCUGUAGUCCCUGUCUCUUAUAC
rnacentral:rRNA from 1 species